UUCCAGAUAAAGAGGCAAAUCAUCGGGUGGACACUAAUCCUCUAAAUCUAAGCACCGUUAAGCCUUUGAAGCUCUCCUAUAAAGUUCAUAAAGGUACUUGGCUGCCACCUCACCUUUUAAGAUCAAGAUGGAACCACAAGAAUCUUCGAUGGGAAGAGAUAUUAAAAAUAUUAUCGAACAAAAUAAUUUUACAAAUUAAAAUCUUAAAAUGAUAGGUGAUCAAUUAAUCAGGAUAAAAAAUAAAAAUUGGUCAACUAGAUGAAACACUAAUUUUCAAACCACAUGAAAUCCCUCAAAAAUAUGUACCACAAUUAACAAAACC
rnacentral:lncRNA from 1 species